rnacentral:rRNA from 1 species
UACGUAGGGGGCAAGCGUUGUCCGGAAUCAUUGGGCGUAAAGAGCGUGUAGGCGGCCCGGUAAGUCCGCUGUGAAAGUCCAGGGCUCAACCCUGGGAUGCCGGUGGAUACUGUCGGGCUCGAGUCCGGGAAGAGGAGUGUGGAAUUCCGUGGUGUAGCGGUGAAAUGCGCAGAUAUCAGGAAGAACACCCGUGGCGAAGGCGGCUCUCUGGGACGGUACUGACGGCUGAGACGCGAAAGCGUGGGGAGCGAACAGG